GUGUGCAAAUUGCCACGUUGAAGUACAUGACGGCAUUACGCAGCUUCCAAAAGAAAUUUUGGUUGAAAAAUGAGGUGAAUUGCUGGAAGCCCAAUCCAAAUAAAUUGGAGGGUAAUCAGCAGCCAAGUCCCAAGAGAAAUCAAGGGAAAGGUUCAGAGACUAUCUCGAAAGAGAGUACUCGGUAUUACUUAAAAUAAUACCCAGGAAGCGCCUCACCCGUCGAUUCGUCACGGUGAUGAUAUAGUCCAUACCUUAAGUAAUUAAGGA
rnacentral:ncRNA from 1 species